UACAGAGGUCUCAAGCGUUGUUCGGAUUCAUUGGGCGUAAAGGGUGCGUAGGUGGCAUGGUAAGUCGGACGUGAAAUCCCGGGGCUCAACCCCGGAACUGCAUUCGAUACUGCUGCGCUAGAGUACUGGAGAGGAGAUUGGAAUUUACGGUGUAGCAGUGAAAUGCGUAGAUAUCGUAAGGAAGACCAGUGGCGAAGGCGGAUCUCUGGACAGUUACUGACACUGAGGCACGAAGGCCAGGGGAGCAAACGGG
rnacentral:rRNA from 1 species